UUACGGCCAUAUCACAUUCAAACAUCGGCACUCGUACGAUCACUAAAUUUAAGCAACGUCGAGCCUAGUCAUUACCUAGAUGAGUGACCUCUUGGGAAUAUCAGGUCGUCGUAG